GAUCUACAGAGAACGGUCAAAGCAAUGCAGAUACGUGUACAUUGUCUUGUCAAAGGAGGAGGAGGAAGCGGUAAGAUUAAUAAUAAAUGAUUUUACAAUGAACUGCUUGGAUCUGUCAGAACCUCACAUUGUUCUCUUCUGUCCAUCAUGCAGUGGUUUGAUGGUUACUACGAGUAUCUGCGUUCGGUGAUGAUCAAGAGGAGGCACAGGAGAUGCAGUUCAGAUGAAUCCAGCUGACAGUCCCUCUGAGGAUCUAAAGAAGCUGCAUGACGAGUACCGUCUCCCAAGCGUCACCAGCAGCAUGGCCAGGUCUUUUGUAUGCACUGCCAUGCAGAACAGUGAUUUUGUCAGAUGAGGAGAAGCUCUUAAGUCCAGCUGAAGUGCCUGAGCCCAAAUGGAUGAAUGCGAACGCAGCUUUUUACCUGCUGAAGAUGUCACAUCCAGUAACGGUGCCUGCAGCGCCUCCAGAAAAAGCUGCAUGAAUGCACAUCAAGGAAAUACCAGAGCCACUGCCUCUCUCUCUUUGAUACUUUUGGCACACGUCAGCCAUCCGAGAGCAGAGUGCACAGCUGGAUGGAGAACGUGCCAGAUGCUGCUGACGUUAUGAAGGACUGGAGGCCUCCAUGAAGCAUCCAAGCACCGACAGACAGUAAAUCGAUCCGUCGCAUG